rnacentral:rRNA from 1 species
GAUUCCCUACGGGGUGCAGCAGGCGCGCAAACUUUACAAUGCGAGCAAUCGUGAUAAGGAAACCCUGAGUGCCUGUCGAUGCAGGCUGUUCAUAUAUCUAAAUCAUAUGUGAAGAAAGGGCAGGGCAAGACCGGUGCCAGCCGCCGCGGUAAUACCGGCUGCUCGAGUGAUGGCCACUAUUACUGGGUUUAAAGCGUCCGUAGCUUGACUGUUAGGUCUCUUGGGAAAUCUUCACGCUCAACGUGAAGGCGUCUAAGAGAUACCGGCAGUCUUGGAACUGGGAGAGGUAAACCGUACUUCGGGGGUAGGAGUGAAAUCUUGUAAUCCUCGAGGGACGACCUAUGGCGAAGGCAGUUUACCAGAACAGCUUCGACAGUGAGGGACGAAAGCUGGGGGAGCAAACGGGAUUAGAUACCCCGGUAGUCCCAGCCGUAAACAAUGUGCGUUAGGUGUGUCGGUAACCACGUGUUACUGAUGCGCCGAAGAGAAAUCGUGAAACGCACCACCUGGGAAGUACGGUCGCAAGGCUGAAACUUAAAGGAAUUGGCGGGGGAGCACCACAACAGGUGGAGCCUGCGGUUUAAUUGGAUUCAACGCCGGACAUCUCACCGGAUAAGACAGCUGAAUGAUUGUCAAUCUGAAGGUUUUACAUGACUAGCUGAGAGGAGG